rnacentral:rRNA from 1 species
AUUGAACGCUGGCGGCAGGCCUAACACAUGCAAGUCGAGCGAGUGGCGGACGGGUGAGUAAUGUCUGGGGAUCUGCCCGAUAGAGGGGGAUAACUACUGGAAACGGUAGCUAAUACCGCAUACCAUCAGAUGUACCCAGAUGGGAUUAGCUAGUAGGUGGGGUAACGGCUCACCUAGGCGACGAUCCCUAGCUGGUCUGAGAGGAUGAUCAACCACACUGGAACUGAGACACGGUCCAGACUCCUACGGGAGGCAGCAGUGGGGAAUAGUGCACAAUGGGCGCAAGCCUGAUGCAGCCAUGCCGCGUGUAUGAAGAAGGCCUUCGGGUUGUAAAGUACUUUCAGCGGGGAGGCGUUACCCGCAGAAGAAGCACCGGCUAACUCCGUGCCAGCAGCCGCGGUAAUUC